GACGAACGCUGGCGGCGCGCUUAACACAUGCAAGUCGAGCGAAGCGGCGGACGGGUGAGUAACACGUGAGUAACCUGCCUUAGACAUUGGGAUAGCCUCGGGACACCGGGAUUCAUACCAAAUGGUCUAAGAUGGCCUAGAGUCCCAUUAGCUAGUUGGUGGGUAACGGCCCACAAAGGAGACGAAGGGUAGCCGGGCUGAGAGGGUGAAAGGACGCAAUGGAACUAGUAAACGGGCCAAGCUCAGCAGGAGGUAGCAGUGGGGAAUAUUGCACAAUGAGCGCAAGUCUGAUGGAGACAUGACGCGUAAAUGAAGAAGGCCUUCGGGUUGUAAAGUACUUACAGUAGGGAGGUGUUAAAGUUAAUAACCUUGGCAAUUGAGUUAGACAGAAGAAGCGCCGGCUAACUCCGUGCCAGCAGCCGCGGUAAUUC
rnacentral:rRNA from 1 species